GCUGCGGGUGACCGUGGCCCACGUCGUGCCCCCGGGGGACCCCCGGACCGGGUGUGGCCGGGACAGGGCCUGCUGGCAGGGCUGCCCAAGGAAGACCCAGCCCGGCCUCGCGGGGCCCCGAGACCCCGCGCCUCACGCGCUCCUGCCUCUCGCCUCGCCCCGCAGCUUUGGCCGGAUCGGGCGCCUGGUCACCAGGGCUGCUUUCAUCUCGGGCAAGGUGAGCAUCGUCGCCAUCAACGACCCCUUCAUUGACCUCAACUACAUGGUGUACAUGUUCCAGUACGACUCCACCCACGGCAAGUUCCACGGCACCGUCAAGGCCGCGGACGGCAAGCUGGUCAUCAACGGGAGUCCCAUCACCAUCUUCCAGGAGUGA